UUACGGUCAUAUCAAAUUAAAACGCCGGUUCCAGUACAAUCACCAAAGUUAAGCAAUGUCGAACCUGGUCAGUACCUAGAUGGGUGACCGCUUGGCAAUACCAGUAGCUGUAAG